UACGAAGGGGGCUAGCGUUGUUCGGAAUUACUGGGCGUAAAGGGCGCGUAGGCGGCCGAUUAAGUUAGAUGUGAAAGUCCUGGGCUCAACCUGGGGACUGCAUUUAAUACUGGUUGGCUUGAAUUCGGGAGAGGAUAGCGGAAUUCCCAGUGUAGAGGUGAAAUUCGUAGAUAUUGGGAAGAACACCGGUGGCGAAGGCGGCUAUCUGGACCGACAUUGACGCUGAGGCGCGAAAGCGUGGGGAGCAAACGGG
rnacentral:rRNA from 1 species